UUCCUAAGGUUUUGAAUUGGGCGCCAUGAUGGGAAACCGCAUGGUGGAUUCGCUCAAAUUCGGGGAACGCUCUGAUCAUCUCGAUCGUGCCAAUCCCGAGCCAAGCUUUCCGGCGUGCCGGCAAGAAGGUGUAGAGACUGUACGGGCGACACCUUGGCUUUCUGGCCAUGGUGAAGAGACAGUCCAGACCACGAACGUGCCUCCGGG
rnacentral:ncRNA from 1 species